AUGGCGUUCGCGGUGCCACCUGACAUGUUCAGUCUCAUCGUUGCUACUGUUGUACGAGAAGAAGGAGCACGCCCAGGAGAAGAAGGAGCAAGCCCAGGAGAAAAACAACAAGCAGGAGAAGAGGGGAGCAAGCCCAACAUAAACUAUUGUUGUUUAUGUUGUUACACGCUUGUUGAUCCGUCAGACUCCAUGGCUGCUCCGCAGCGUCCACACAUAGGACAAGGGCGCCAUGGCCAACCAAGGCGCAUGGUGCUCGCAAGCGACGAGCGGAGGUUGUUUGACAUCGUCAUGGAGGAGGAGGACGGGCACGGACGGAGGACAGAACACCUCUCUUCUUCUAGGUCCUUCUCCUUAUCUUCACUUAAUGUAUGUGCAUGUGCUGCAGCUCACCCACGGUCUUGUUUGUCUUGCAGGUUAGUGAGCAGCUUCAGGAGGAGCUCAAGCACGACCACCAAGAGGCACCACCGCAGCAAUAGGGCGACUGUGGAAGGCAUGUUGUAUUUCUGUCAGCCCAGUCCUGACUAUGUCUGUCCGUGA
rnacentral:rRNA from 1 species